CUGAGUACGCGUGCGUGACACUCACGAAGAAACAUAUUCAUCGUAGCCAAAGGUUUUUUGAAUAAAGGAACCAAGAAAGAGGGAGAGAGAGGAGGUCAGUCCUAGGUGACUCACCGUCUUGCCGUUGCGCACAGUACCUCCACCUUACAUUAUUGCAUCAUCGCGUUCUCUCCUCUCGCACGCACGCGCGUGUGCAUUGAGGAUGUCGGCAGACCAGCGAGUAACGGAGUGUGGUGGAAGCAACGGUGCCUCGACAGCACUACCACCGCUCACACCACACACGAUUGGCGGCAAGUCUAACGAGGCUCUGUGCGAUGAUCACCAAGACGUGGCUCCACCUCCGUACUCCAUGGAGAGCGCGAUUGGUUUGUCGGUACCCCUAUAUCAGCCGCACGCCCCAGCGCCUGGUGCGGUCAUUGAUCCGGAUAUGGUCGAGGACCACGUUAGCUUUCUGCGCACCGUGCGCGCCUUCCACGAUUACAAGCGCCAGGCGCUGGCUGCCCGCGAGAUGCGGUGCACCAACUUCCGCAAGCUGCAGGAUCAGCACCGUGAUUUGCUGUGUAUAGAUUUGGACAAGAUCCUCGAGAAGUACCUAGAGUGCAUUGAGGUGAACAGCGCCUUCUUCGACGCCAUCUGCGAGGCAAGCGAGGAGUUGUUCGACAGCUACUGGCCAGAGGGUACGACGGUGUUCAUGAAGGAGGUUCCGCCGCCGACGCCGCUGGACAUGAACAAGGUUUUUUCGACACUGCGCCAGUUCGUGCGCGACUGGUCCGCCGAAGGUGUGGCGGAGCGGGACUGUGUGUACAAGCCCAUUCUGGAUACGCUGGAUCGCUGCUUCCCCAAUCGCGGCGAGCGCGAGAACGUGCGCGUGUUGAUCCCUGGUGCUGGACUCUGCCGGCUCUCUGUAGAACUUGCCCUCCGCGGCUUCUUUGCCCAGGCAAACGAGUUUAGCUACCAUAUGCUGAUCGCCGGCCACUAUAUUCAGAAUCACGUGUUCGAAUCAUGUCAGCACAAGAUCUAUCCCUACAGUGACAGCACAUGCAAUCUAGUCAACCGCGCUGACCAGUUUGCCGAGGUGCAGAUCCCCGACUUGUGCGCGUCAGAGGCGAUCGACGCGCUGCGUGACAAGGGCCUCUCCUUUGGCCAGCUUUCCAUGGUCGCCGGCGACUUUACAGAGGUGUACGCAAAGCCACACCAGCACAAGACGUGGUCGGUCGUGGCCACAUGCUUUUUCAUCGACACUGCACACAACAUCAUCGAGUACCUCGUGAUCAUUUACAACCUUCUUGUCCCUGGUGGAUACUGGGUAAAUGUCGGGCCGCUGCUUUACCACUUUGCCGACAGCGCGGACGACAUGUCGAUUGAGUUGUCGCUGGGCGAGGUGCUGACAGUUGCGCAGCGGAUCGGGUUCGUGCUGAAUGGGCCGCCGUCUUUUAUCGACACGACCUACACGAAUAAUCAACGCAGCAUGAAGCAGCUGGUGUACCGAUGCGCGUUCUUUGUCCUGCAGCGUCCCUUGGCCGAUAAGCAGACGGAGCAGAUGGAUAGAAGCGUGGAGGCGAAAGUAACGUAGGAAGUUGUGGCACAAAUAUGGCGUAAAGGGAAGUGGCGGUGUGAGGGGGGCGACCGAAGAGAGAGGGCUUGCUCCGACAAUGAGCGUUGAAUGGCUAUGUGGGGAAAAGGUGAGCCAGAGACGCGGCCGACUCGUUCUCGCGCAUCGUAGAUGGUGCACGCUGCGUGCCCGGGUGGAGGUAGUGCUACCUCAUUCGGUUGUGCAUGUCUUUUUCUUUCGUAACUGUUGCCUCCACUACGACGGCUUACGAAAUGUGGCGACCAGUGUCUCCAGCCUCUUCUCCCUCGCCUGGUCCCCACCUGUGUCGCUUCCUCUUCUACUACACCGUGGCGCACACGCCGUGGAAGGGGCGGAGGGAGUUGUGGGAUAUAGGCCGCAUCGCUAACACCAUCACCUCUGCUUUUUGCCACCAACAUUGAAAUUGCUCGAAUCGGCGCUGCUGCUGAUGCAGUGGCUCACGAGACCAUGAACUCCUUUGUGUGCGCCUUACUUUCGCGCUGCCACCUUGCGUUGGCGGUCCGCGUGCAUGGCAGCGCAUGAUUCGCACAGACAAACGAAAACUAAAUGGAUAAUUCAUGUCGUGGUGGAGGGUGGAAGAGGGGCAGGCGAUGGGUAAGCUCGGAGGACAGGCACUGAUUCUUUCAAUCACCACGCAGUGCGGCAGGUCAGUUUGCGGAUGCUCUUCAGGCAUUGUGAGGUAGCGCUGAUGCGGUGCUUGCCUCCCCCCACUUCCACUUCCUGUACAGUGCUUCCAUUUGCCUUCUUCAUGAGGCGUGCUCACCGUCGUUGGAAUGGCAGGCUGAACUCUUUUGUUUUCUCUCGUUGACUCGGAGCAGCAGACAAAGCAGAGCUACUGGGUUCGGUGACACACAAGCAGGCGCAUCAACGCGCAUGCGGACAUCUCUUCCUGUCUCACAUCCACAGGAGGAAGAUGCGUGUGUGUGUGUGUCCGUCUGUGCUCACGUGCUGCUUCUGUUUUGUGUGUGCGUGUCUAUGUCCAUGCCAGUCUGUCUUGUCCUGCCGCUGUGCUUUCUUCCCUGUCUUGCUAUCAGUUUCUUCUACCGCUACUUCCUGUCACAUUUCUUUUCUUUUUGGUUUCUGGCCACAUAUGGUCGUUAG
rnacentral:misc_RNA from 1 species